rnacentral:misc_RNA from 1 species
GAUGAAGAACGUAGCGAAAUGCGAUAAGUAGUGUGAAUUGCAGAAUUCAGUGAAUCAUCGAAUCUUUGAACGCACAUUGCGCCCCUUGGUAUUCCAUGGGGCAUGCCUGUUCGAGCGUCAUUUGUACCUUCAAGCUCUGCUUGGUGUUGGGUGUUUGUCUCGCCUCUGCGUGUAGACUCGCCUUAAAACAAUUGGCAGCCGGCGUAUUGAUUUCGGAGCGCAGUACAUCUCGCGCUUUGCACUCAUAACGACGACGUCCAAAAGUACAUUUUUACACUCUUGACCUCGGAUCAGGUAGGGAUACCCGCUGAACUUAUGCAUAUCAAUAAGCGGAGGA